UUUAUUGCAUUCGCUCCACAUAAUCGAGUUGGUCACGGCUACACGGCACAGCGUGGCAACCAUUUCCAACUAAUCCAACGUUUUCCACUCCAAUACCUUUUAAACAUUGUAUUGGUUAUCAAGUUCCAGUUGAAAAGUUAAUUUCGUGUCGAACAAGACCCCAGCUGUGACACUUCGGGUGAAAGUGUUUUUAAUCUGCUUUGGAAGUGGGAAGUUUGAUUUCGUUACUUAAUACUUGGUGCGUGUACCUUACUUAUGGUACACUUGUAAAGUUGAAAUCUCCGUCGGCUUUAGUGGAAGUUUUACUUGUGGUAACGACAUAAUGUGGUGUCGCGUUUGAGCAGCGCGGGUGCGCGGAAGCCGUGGCGGCCACGUGACAAGAUUAUCUUCUCACAGGGGAUGUGACAAAUACAAGACAUGAGCUGUAGCGGUGGAAUUUCCUAACAAGACAACAGUGACGAAGGGCCCAUAUAACCCAAUACCUGCUAGCUACCCUUUCGUGACUUAUGUCAAAUGUAAUUUUCAUUGAAAUGAUUUGAAGACCGCAUUUAAGCAUAUUAGUAGU
rnacentral:lncRNA from 1 species